AAGUUCUAGUUAGAUGCAAGCAAGUAGUGAUUAGUGGUGAUAGAUUAAAUUUAAGAAAUUAAAUUGAAGAAACAUAAUUUUAAUACACAAAAAAGAAUCAAUUUGCCUAGAUAAUCCAAUUAUUAAGUAAUGAUUAGUAUCUAAUUAGAGACCCGAAGAGUAGUGAUCUUACCAUGGUCAGGCUUAUAAAAGGCCGAAUGGGUUAUCGUUGUAAAGAUAUCCAAAGAACUGUGGUAAGUUAGUGAAAGACAAUCCUGACUACUAUAGCUGGUUUUCCGCGAAACAUAUGUAAGUAUGUAGUUUAAAUAACAUCAUAGCAGGUACAGAACUGUGAUCUCGGACAAUUUGUGCAUUAAUAUCCUAUUAGG
rnacentral:rRNA from 1 species